CGACGACCAAGGACUUCAGGGACCGUAUCAACCAUGGAACUUCAUUUAAGUUUUUAAUAUGUUGCAAUACAUGUCUAUUUUUUAUUUAAAUUUAAUUUAAAAAAAAAAUAUUUUUUAUUUCCCCAGAAAAUCUGACAACCUUUCGGCGCCCCCUCCUCGCGAGUGGAGGUUGAGGAGGACAUUUAUCCUUUUGGCUCGACUUGGCCAGAUCAAAUCAACGGAGAUGAGAUUGGGAGAGCGAAUCAAUCCCAUUAGUGUUCCACGAUCCCUCGGUUGGAUCAGAUCGACGACUAAGGACUUCAAGGGACCGUAUCAAUCCCAAGAAUUCCUUCAAAUAUUUAGAUGCCGCAAUACCUGUUUGAAAAUGCCCACAUUUCUCUCCAUCUCUCCUUCCCUUUCUUUUAUUUUUUUAAUUUCAUUUUCUUUUAUUUUUUUAAUAUAUAUAAAGACAGGCAUCGGCGGCCAGAGGCGGCGGAUCCGGCGAGUUGAUCGGCCUAGUUUGGUUAGGGCAGAUGGACUUCAAGCUUGGGUCGGAGGAGAAGGCUGGCAGGGAGGUCGGAAGCGGCGGCUAGGUGGGAGACAAAGGCAAGCGUCGUUCGGGCUAGCUUCGGGCUUAGAGAAGACGACUGGUUGUACUGGAGCAAGAGGUGGAGGCAGCGGUUAGUGCAGAUUCAAAGAGGUCGGGGUUUUAUGGCUGGAGUAGGGGUUCAUUCGCCUGAGGUGGCUUACACAUGCAGAGAUUGCGAGGUGUCCGGAUUGGGGGGACAGCUCAUUGCAAAGGUAAUAUAUGUAAUUUUGUUAAUACAGUAGAGGAGUAAAAUUAUUAAUAGUAUGUCUACAACAAAAACAACAACAAUAACAACAACAACAACAAGUAUUUAUCCCACUAUAUGGGGUCGGCUACGUAAAUUCUUUUGCUCUAUUAUAUCUUGUUAAGAGUCACAUUCUCAUUUAAAACUAAUAAAGAAAGGUCAUUUCUAAUAUUUCCUAGCCCGUCGUUUUAGGUCAUUGUGUCCUAUGAAUAGUGUGUAUGCAUGAAUUUUAAAUUAAUUUAAUAUGAUUUCUAUUUUGCACAUUUUUUAAUCAACCUCAGCAUAAUAUUGCGGUGCAUGCAGAUCAUAUUUUAUUAUGAUUCCCUUUGAAAUUCUAUCACUGUGAAUUAUGACAUGCAAGCUACACAACUAUACCUGCUUUUAUACAGAUACACAUUACAGCCAGAUCAUAUGUCCACAUAUUUAUAUAUACAUGUAACAUAUAGUAGGUUGUUGUAAGAAGAAAGAAAACGACAAUGAUCAAGUAAAGUAAGCUACAGGUUAUGGAGCAUACGGGCUAUAGAGGUAGUACGACCUUAGAAGCCAAUGCGGUGUAGAUCUAAACCUAAACAUUUAAACAUGAUAUUUUUUUAGACUGAAAAAGAAAGGAUAUGAAAUGAACAAAACUUUAUAGCUAUGAUUAAACAUUUGGAUUGUAUGAUUUACUGAUGUAUGCAAAUGCAAUUGGUUUUAAGUAAUGCUAUUGAUAUUAUAUGACAUAUAAUUGAAUGCAUAAUUGAGGCGAACAAACUUCUUACAUAUUGCACUGUAGGUGAUACAUACCCUGUAUAUUCCCUAUUACAAUUAUUGUAAACUUGAAUUGCUUACAUGCUCUUCUUACAUGCAUAAUUUGAUUUGCCAGUUGAUACUGACGUUUAUAAGUUACUUCUUACACUUGAUUGCUAUAUUAGAGUUGUAGAUUUUUUUUUACAGACAUCAUAUCUCAUCAGAUUUGCAUUUUGACUAUUCUUACAAAAAAGUGGAAGGAUAAUGUUGAGCCAGAAUAGUGUUAGGUUCAAUUUAUGUUUCAUAUUUACUUUUAUCAAUGUCAGGUUUGGAUUGAGGUUUGUAGUCUAUUAAUAGUUUUAUGUUUUGUUUUUCCAUUGUUGUUCAAUAGAUGAAAAUUUGGAAAAUGAAAUCUUGAAUAGCUUUUGCU